rnacentral:tRNA from 1 species
GCACCCAUAGCUCAAUGGUAGAGCAACUGACUCUUAAUCAGUGGGUUCAAGGUUCAAGUCCUUGUGGGUGCA